rnacentral:misc_RNA from 1 species
UGGCAGCACUACUAUACGAACGACGCGAUUGUGCUGCCAUGAGCCGCCGCGUCAACGCAGAAGCCUUGGGCCAGAUUCUCGAAGCGCUCUUCCUGCUUCGCUCAUCAAGGCUGGCAGAGACUUCCACCGCUGGAUCUGCGUCAUCUGUUUCCUCGGGGUACUCGACGCCGGAGCCGGGGUCGACCUCGGAAGCUGCGGUAGACUGCGCGCGGCACCUUCUGCGCGAUUGUGUUCUUAAUGCUGUAGAAAUCGAGCCCACACAGCCUGAUCCUUCAUCCCUCCCGGUUGUGGAAGCAGAUUCAUCUAUGACCACCAAAAAGUCUCCUUUUUCAUUGAGCUCUGCAGCCGCGUGGCGUCCGCGGAGAGAGAUCGGUGCUGUGCUUGAGGGUCGCGACUUGCACAGGAUCGACCUCUCCGGCACGCGUUUGUGUGCUAGCUUCAAUCGCAGCGAUCUUUCCGAGGCCGUUCUUCUUGGAACCUACUUUGCGCACUGCACGUUCAACUUGUGUGAUUUGCGGAAGGCAAAUAUGGCAGGUGCUCAGUUUCACUCUUGUACGUUCUUGUCUACCGACGCGUCGGCAGCGACAGCGCGCCGCGCGCAUUUUUCUCAUUGCAUGUUUCACCGGGCUGACUUGUCCGACUGGGACGCAGCGGGUGCAACCUUUUUUCAAUGCAGCUUCACCUUGUCUGACCUGUCCCGCUGGUCUUUGGACGGACAGACGACUGUGGUGGGUCCAACCGACUGGGGCCGUUGCCGCCGCUUAGACUGGGUGAUGAAGCCUGGGAGCUCGGUGCGUAAGUGCUGUGUAUUCGGAGACGCAAAUGCCACAAGCGCCCUUUCAUUGGCACCCGCUGAAAAGUCAUCGUGCCACCCGUCACAGAGACAUCACUGAGGCGGAAGCAGAAGUAAACAUGGCACCAUUGCUGACGCGCCUCAUCGCAUUUGAGCUCGCCAUGCUUUUCCUGACUUCGUAGCUAUGCAAUGCAGCAGUCAUCACACCUUCAGGCAGGUAGGUGCGCACACCCCGAUGCUCGUGCUGCGCCUCACGUUCAACAAAAAACAAAC